rnacentral:lncRNA from 1 species
GCACUGGCAACUCGGAGAGCUCUUUUCAAUCUCAUCGUACUGUUCAAAAGUGGCGAGGCCUUGGCCCGCAACAGUGUCCACUAAAAGGAGGAGCCCCCAGAAAUGCAGACCCCAUACGAGUGCCUGCAGCAGCAUGGCUGGAUGCUCAUGUCAGGCUUCACCGUGGCCGAGUACCAGGCGGAACCAAC